GUUCACAAGUCUUACAAUCAGGGAUAACAAUUAGACAAAUUGGCAGCAAUAUCAUUAAGAAAGAAUCCAACUUGAGUAACUAAAUUCAACUUUUACUCUCAAGCAAAGAUGCUAGUCCAUCAGCAUAAAGAAAUGUCACCACAAGGAAAGUAGUUCUCACAUCACAAAAAAUAAAUUAUUUCAACUAUUAUUUUCUCAACUUAUAACCAAACUGGAACCAUGGGAACCAUCCCUCCUUUGUUCAAUUCAAGUUCCUCCUGGCCAUGAGCCAGAGCCACUAGUUUUGAUCCAUAACGGGCCCAUGGCCACACCUAGGUCUUAGGCUCAACCACUGAGUAAAUAUUAUGGUUAUGAUAUGAUUCGCAACCAUGAACAAUUAAUCAUCAGCCCAAAAAAUAUAUAUAUUAUUUUAUUAAAAACCGAAUUUUAAAUUUUAAAUUCCUCUUAUAAGUUUCAAAGGCAAGAAUUUUGGAUUUUAAAUUGUCACCCUUAACCGUAUAGUAAAAUUUCAAAAGAAGAAAUUCCAUACGAUGAGUUU
rnacentral:misc_RNA from 1 species